rnacentral:lncRNA from 1 species
AUUGUCUCGUCUUCCUGUUUGAGGCGGGUUCGAGCGCCGGGAGUGAGGAGUUGAGGUCUGGGAAGCCUCCGCUCCUUGAUAUUCUUGAGACAGCGGCUUUCCUGGCAAACUUCAAGGACACAUGAUCAGCUAAACUUUAGUGUGCCUCCAACUCCAGGCCACCUGGGCUUUUAACGAUUUGCAACUCCCAUUUAGUUGUAAAGCUCAAGGAGUCCAAGUUUAAAGAAACAGGGAUGGACUCUAGUGACUGCUGUGCUGUAUCGCUCAGAUCCUCCUUCAGGAUUAAGGACUUAUUCUUCCAAGUGCGGGGAGUGCAGCCAUCCGACAGCCCUCGGCCCUCAGCCUUCUUUGUGAAUUGCCCUCGGCUAAAGGAACCUGCCUCACUUAGGCUCACACCACUCAGAACUCUUGCCAUGAAAGCAUGACUGACCAACAGCCAUCUGCAUCCACCCCUGUGUUUGUGCUGAGGUUGCUCCUGGGCUGCUCCCAGCCAGCGACUGAGCACAGCAGGGAACCAGUUCAUGCCCAUCACCAUGAUCACACGACAUUGAUGAUCAGUGAAAAUACAACUGUGGUUCCCAGGGGCAGACCUCAGCAAACAGAAAUCUUCAGCGAACAGAAAUCUUCAGCGAUAACCGUCAGAAAGGGUCAUUGUGUCUCAGCGAGGGCUGGUGGAGGAAGAAGGAAAAGAGGAGCAUGGGUCCUCGGCUCUAACUUCAGAAUAAUGAGAUGGGACAGUGCCAUAAUUAUUUAGUCUACAAAGGUGAAGUC